rnacentral:rRNA from 1 species
UUUAUCGGAGAGUUUGAUCCUGGCUCAGGACGAACGCUGGCGGCGUGCCUAAUACAUGCAAGUCGAGCGGACAGAUGGGAGCUUGCUCCCUGAUGUUAGCGGCGGACGGGUGAGUAACACGUGGGUAACCUGCCUGUAAGACUGGGAUAACUCCGGGAAACCGGGGCUAAUACCGGAUGGUUGUUUGAACCGCAUGGUUCAAACAUAAAAGGUGGCUUCGGCUACCACUUACAGAUGGACCCGCGGCGCAUUAGCUAGUUGGUGAGGUAACGGCUCACCAAGGCGACGAUGCGUAGCCGACCUGAGAGGGUGAUCGGCCACACUGGGACUGAGACACGGCCCAGACUCCUACGGGAGGCAGC